rnacentral:rRNA from 1 species
AGCAGUAGCCGCGGGAAAACGAGGGGAGCUAGCGUUGUUCGGAAUUACUGGGCGUAAAGCGCGCGUAGGCGGCUUUUUAAGUCAGAGGUGAAAGCCCGGGGCUCAACCCCGGAAUUGCCUUUGAAACUGGAAAGCUAGAAUCUUGGAGAGGUCAGUGGAAUUCCGAGUGUAGAGGUGAAAUUCGUAGAUAUUCGGAAGAACACCAGUGGCGAAGGCGACUGACUGGACAAGUAUUGACGCUGAGGUGCGAAAGCGUGGGGAGCAAACAGGAUUAGAUACCCGCGUAGUCCCUGUCUCUUAUAC